CUGAACUCUGCAGGAUAGUUGAUGGACAGGAGCAGGAUUGGGCGCUGUAGCGUUCUCACAGUGUUUUCAUCACGGAAACCAAGAGAUUCAUAAACUGAACAGCAGAUGGCGAUAUUUCUCCAGUCGUGGUGGUGAAUCAUAGGCUGCUUUCAAGUCACUGAAAGCUGAAAAAAACUUCACAAGCUGCAACACGUUCAUGCUUCUCGACAAAAACCCAUCACACUGGUAUUCAACCUGAAACAGAAAAGCUUAUGGUCCUGUAUCACCACAUAACAAGGCCACAUUUUAUACUUCUGUUUUUUGAGAUGCCUUGUGUACCUUGUCUGCAAAGUACUAGAUGAUAAAAGCUGUGUUAGACAUGCAAGAUUUCUCAAAAUAU